rnacentral:rRNA from 1 species
UACAGAGGUCCCAAGCGUUGUUCGGAUUCACUGGGCGUAAAGGGGGCGCAGGUGGUCGGGUAAGUCUGACGUGAAAUCCCGCAGCUUAACUGCGGAAUGGCAUUGGAUACUAUUCGGCUAGAGGGUUGGAGGGGGGACUGGAAUUCUCGGUGUAGCAGUGAAAUGCGUAGAUAUCGAGAGGAACACCAGUGGCGAAGGCGAGUCCCUGGACAACUCCUGACGCUGAGGCACGAAAGCUAGGGGAGCAAACAGG